rnacentral:rRNA from 1 species
UACGUAGGGUGCGAGCGUUAAUCGGAAUUACUGGGCGUAAAGCGUGCGUAGGCGGUCCGCGAAGUCUGAUGUGAAAGCCCCGGGCUCAACCUGGGAACUGCAUUGGAAACUAACGGGCUCGAGUGUGGCGGAGGGGGGUGGAAUUCCACGUGUAGCAGUGAAAUGCGUAGAGAUGUGGAGGAACACCGAUGGCGAAGGCAGCCCCCUGGGCUAACACUGACGCUCAGGCACGAAAGCGUGGGGAGCAAACAGG